rnacentral:rRNA from 1 species
AUUGAACGCUAGCGGGAUGCUUUACACAUGCAAGUCGAACGGAGUGGCGGACGGGUGAGUAAUGUAUCGGAAAGUGCCCAGUAGCGGGGGAUAACUACUCGAAACAGUGGCUAAUACCGCAUACUAUUAGAGCGGCCGAUAUCGGAUUAGCUAGUUGGUGGGGUAAAGGCUCACCAAGGCGACGAUCCCUAGCUGGUUUGAGAGGAUGACCAGCCACACUGGGACUGAGACACGGCCCAGACUCCUACGGGAGGCAGCAGUGGGGAAUAUUGGACAAUGGGGGAAACCCUGAUGCAGCCAUCCCGCGUGUAUGAUGAAGGCCUUCGGGUUGUAAAGUACUUUUGGCAGAGAAGCGGUAUCUGCAGAAUAAGCACCGGCUAACUACGUGCCAGCAGCCGCGGUAAUAC